ACAGGGCGGAAACAGUUUAAAAAAUUGACGAUAACCGAAUCCGUAUUUAUUUUGCUAACUUUUAUUUAAGCUAGAAGACUAUAUAACUUUUUAAAAAAUAAAUAUCAGCAAUUAAAUAGCGCUGGAUUUUCAACAAGUUUUCCAUUCAUUCCGCUAACUUUCGUCUGCCAGCUUAAAACGGGUUUGCACUACAUCUAUCUGGCAACGUCGUUCGUUGGUUAAAUUUUGGAACGAAAAUUGAAUGUGUGGAAGCUCGAUUCGUUCGUACGAACGCGUAACCGAAGAAAGAGAGAUUUGCUGUUGUGACUAACAUAAUUAUUGAUUUGAAAUUCAAACCACCACUUUAAUUGAAUAUUUUUCAAAAAAAUAACUAUUACAUUUCAACAAGGCCAGUUACUAUAUUAGAAAUUUAGAAUAUUAAAAAAUGUCAGAAAAUGAAGAUUAUUUAACUGACCAAUUAAAUGAUAAAUUUCAUCAACUACAAGAAAGUGGAAAAGCACUUGCAAAAGAUGGGAAGAUUUCUAAUGCCAUUGAAUUAUUUAAAGAGGCUUACAAGAUUAACCCUACUAAGAAAGUUAAAUUGAGGAUAAAAAAGU
rnacentral:lncRNA from 1 species